GACAAGAGAGGUUCUGCUGUCCUGUCUUCGUCGUUGAAACUGAAAAAUAGGGAAAAUGGGACUUUGUGAGUUUAGAAGGACACCCAUUUUUAUUUUGUCCUUCCUGUUUUGGAUCACAGGAUGUGCACCGCAAAAAGUGUAUUUUGACUGCGGAGCCAAAGUGGAUGUUGUAGAUGCCCAAGGGCUCAUUCUGUCCCCUGGAUUUCCCUAUAACUACUCAUCAGGGACUCACUGUGUGUGGCAGUUCUUUGUGCCUGUAGGCCACCAGCUCAUAAUGGAGAUGUUUGACUUUGACGUCUUCGAGAAUCACAAUAGCCAGGCCAGAUUUUCAGCAAUAUCAGAGGGGGGCCUGGACGAGGACGAGAUGAUGGAUGACAGUGCUGUGUACUCGACUGUGAGGUCAGAGGCGGUGGGUUCCGCAACCCAGCCCGAAGACCUCGCCCCGCCGACCCAAGACAGCAGCAGCAGCAGUCCCAAGGAGCCCCAGUCUUCGCCAAAGGACGUGGUCAAGCCCGUGGUCAUCCAAGAGCAGUCCACAAAAAUGGAGAUGGCCAAAGUGUCCAACUCUGCCAAAUGGUCCUCGUCUUCGCCGUCGAUUGUCCCUUCACUGCAGUCCCCUUCACAGCAGGGUACUGGGAUGGAGCCUCAGGGAGACAAAGCCCUGAACGACAUCUCCCCUCAGGGCCUCAGGGCUGACGCCAGACUGGGGGGGGGUGAGUUCGUGAGCGACCCUACCUCGCCUCCCCCUUUGCCCACAGAUGCCGAGUCAGUAAGUCCGGAGACGCAGCAAUCACAAGUAGACGCGUGCCCGCAUGACGUCCUCUAUAUCUCUGACCUGAUCACCUUCUCCUCUCGCUUCUGUGGCGCCAAUCGGCCAGCCAGUAGCCAGCUGGUGUUUGGCUCUUCAGAUGGGAUGGUGGAAGUGAUCAUGGAGCUUAUCACCACCACCCACUGGGGCCGCGGCUUCGCACUUCUCUUCCACUACCGCAACCACACCGAUGCCAUGGCCGACCAGCGCUCCCUCACCCCCACGGCCAGGAAAAUGGACGCCCUGCUGGCCAUUGUGAGUGGGGCAGCCUUCUUUGCUGUGGCUCUCUCUUGUGUGCUCUUUAUUGUCUUCAGACCAAAACUAUGCGCUAAAGGAGCCAGCGCAUCUCCCUCCAGCAACCCUGAGGUGCCACAGCUUGUGCAGAACCCUGGGGUGGAUGUCAGUGAGCUCCAGCUGGUGCCUCCCAAUGACCUUGGACAAGAGGUUGUGCCCAAGAAUGGCAACAACAACCGCUCACACAGCCUGAGCCUGCCAAACACAGGGUUGUCAUUCACCGCUGGCGGUGAGGUUUCCACCAAUCCUGAGCUGGACAUCUCCUCUGGUGGGCUCACAGAGCUUGAGCUGGGCACAGAUGAGGUGUUUGUGAUCUCCUCCGGACCCAUUCCAAGCAGAUUGCCAUUCUGUCUCCACACGCGGGAUAGGUUCCUGCGACACAGCGAUACUGGUCCAUCCCAUGUAAGUGACUGGCCAUCUCAAGAGCCCUCUGCCCUACCUACAGCUACCCCUGCAGGAACUACGGGGUCUUUCAGCAGUGCUCGGCCGCGAGCCUGGAGCGUCCGCACCUUCCAGGACUUUCUGCCUCCUCUGCCACAGCUGCAUAAGAAGUGGUGCAGCUGGAACUCCACCAGCCCCUUCACCAAGCUGGUUGACAGUGCACCCUCCAGCUCGGUAGCAGACUGCCAAACUGACGGCAAGAGGAAGGUCUUCUCUGACCCCCAGCUCGGGAGCAAGACCGACACCAGCCAGUCCGACUCCUCCAUGAGUAACGCCUCCUAUCCCCUCGCCCAGCCCGCUCAGCGCCAGCGUCGCCUCAACUCCACCAGCAACCUGCGCCGCACCCGCUUUGCCUCCCCCUGCUUCGGCCUCCUCUCUGGGUCGCCGGAGAGCAGCAAGUCGGCCCCUGUGGGCUACCAGGGUGCUGAUCCCCAUAGCGGAGGCAGUUCCCCGGGGCAACAACAGCAGCUUGGUGAAGCGCUGGCAGGGAAUGUCAGAGAUUUCGCUGGAGGGGGCGACGAUCACAUCAACGUGCCGGUAUUCGCCAUAUCAGAGGAGGAGGACCGGCAGCCACUGGUGCUGGCCGAGCACCUCAGCCAGUCCUCCGUCAUGCACAACGGACUGUGCCAGGGCAAAAGGCUCACAGACGGGGGCGCAGUCAACGGAUCCGUCCUGUCCCGCGGCAAGUCUGAGUGGAGGCCGUGGGCCAAUAACACCACAGGAGAGGCGGGGCUUCUCCUGGCUGACAUGCCCACUGGAGUUGCAGAUCCAGCGUUGGUGAUGUCAAACAGCUUGUCUGGUCAGAUACAACUGUCCUCUCUUGGCCAAUAAACAAAGCCAUGCAGUAUGAUGGGCCAAGGACAUGACCAAUCAAAGCACUGUUUGGAGUCGGAACUGAGAAAUGACUCGACUCCUAAGUUGAACCAGCCAUGUUGAGCUGGUACUACACUGGCAAGGGCAAACCGGCCAAACAGCCUUUGAAAAUAAAUUCCUGCAGUUAAACGUGCCGUGAAUCUAUCUGAUUCUUCUUGACAAAGAGUGAGGAAAGAACUUUUUUUCUAUAUAUGUGUGUAAUCAUUUUUGUUACUCUUUACCAUCCAUUUACCUACCAUUAUAUCUGCACAAGAUCUGGUCAAUAUAUUAUCAGACUGAAUGAAGCAUAACUGCAAAAUCACAGCUGAACUACCUAAUGUCAUGUAUCUGAUCUGUCUCCACUUAACAAGUAGCCUAAUCCAUUUCAGUCUCUGCUUUUAUGUUGCUUAUAAAUGAAAAUAACAUCGUAUAUGUAAAUACAGUAGUUAGAGGUAAAGGUAUUACAUUUUACCAUCCACUAGUGCUAUGAAUUAAUACUUACUGAAACAAUAGAUUGUAUGUUUCUUUUCUAUAUCAAAGUGAUAUUCCAAAUACCUGCACUUUUUUUUCUACACAACCUUGUCCUUAAUCCUUCAGUACUAUGUAGAGGACCAAUUAGUGUGGAUCGAGCAGCAAGCCGCUUGGCAGGCCCUCUCUGUGAUUCACUUAGUUAUUCAUUGGUCCAACAUGCUUCUGCACACUGCGUUAUAUAACGUGUAUGGCCCUGUUCCUACUUGUGCGUCAUAUCAGCACACCUUCAGUGGGACCGCGGCCAAUGCUGCUACUGCUGUUGCUGCUACGCGUGCUCACGCAUAACCUCCGCUCGGCAAGACCUCCGGUACUUUCCUCUGCCCUGCUGGAUCGCGACC
ensembl:lncRNA